AAUUGCACGGUAUCCAUCUGUAA
rnacentral:ncRNA from 11 species